GGUCAGCUGACACAUCCCUGCCAAUCUCCGGCAGACCCUCCCUCCCAGUCCCUCCUACUUCCUGGACAGCAUCCAUGUUGAAGGCAGCUUCAACAUGGAUGCUGUCCAGGAGGUGGGAGGGUCUGGGAGGGAGGGUCUGCCGGAGAUUGGCAGGGAUGUGUCAGCUG